GGAGCUUUAAGUACAGACCCAGGAAAAUGAUAAUUACUCAUGAGAAUGCUCACAGUGUUCAUGCCAAAAAUGACCUUUUGGUUCAUCAUCACUUACUAAAACCUGCUUUCUCACUCUGGUCUGGCCCAAGUUGUUUCUCCAUUGGUGACUGUAUCAUCAGUUUUCCCAUCUCUGUCAGAGUACAACUGCUGCUUCUUUACCAUCUCUGACAAUAGAAGGAACAUAAGUGUUUGAGGAAGCAAGAGAUUUGAUUUCCCUCUGCACC
rnacentral:lncRNA from 1 species